rnacentral:rRNA from 1 species
CUGCUCAAUGAAUUUUAAAUAGCUGCAGUAUCAUGACUGUACAAAGGUAGCAUAAUCAUUUGUCUUUUUAUUAAAGUCUAGUAUGAAUGAUUUAAUGAAAUAAAAUCUGUCUCAAAUUAAAAAUUAAAUUUUAUUAUAAGUUAAAAUUCUUAUAUUUAAUUAAAAGACGAGAAGACCCUAUAGAAUUUAAUAAUAUUAAAUUUUAUUUAUUAUAUAAAUAUUUUUUUAAAUAAUUUUUUUAUUAUUUUGUUGGGGUGACAAAAAAAAUUAAUAAAUUUUUUUAAUAAAUUAACAUUAAUUAAUGAAUAUAAUUUAUCCAUUUUUAAUGAAUAUAAAAUAAAUUACCUUAGGGAUAACAGCGUAAUUUUUUUAAAGAGAUCAUAUUGAUAAAAAAGUUUGCGACCUCGAUGUUGAAUUAAGAUAUAUUAAUAUUGUAGAAAAUAUUAUAUUAAG